GAUUGAAGGUGCCAGGCACUGUUUCGUCAAAAUGAUUGUUGGGGGUGACUAUUUUGAAGGCUCCCAUGAUCACAAUCUCAUGACAGGAUCUUUGACCCAUGAUUCCUCUCUAGCUCCAAAAUGCAACGACAGCAUAAAUAUCGAGCUACAGAGAUUCAAAGUGCACUCGUUUUCUGCAGAAGUUCUUUCUGAUUCGACCAAUCUUUCUUCUGAAGCUGCAAGAGCAAUCAACCACCUUCAGCAUCAACUAGGAAUUGAUUUGGAGCAGGAUAUGCCAUCAGUGGAAACUGCACCCUGGGAUACUUCUAUCUGCACCAUUCAAGACCAAAUCAUCAACCAUCAGCUUAGCGAAGAUCCACAAAACAUAUUGGUGCAACAACAGAUUCAACAGUAUGACGCUGCACUUUAUCCAAACAGUGCUUACACACCAGCGCCUGAUCUCUUAAACCUUCUCCACUGCACUGUGGCUCCAGUGUUCCCUGCAACAACAUCAGUCUUUGGUGAUACAGCACUAAGUGGUACCAGCUAUUUGGAUCUCAAUGGUGAGUUUACAGGAGUGGCAGCAAUUACUGACAGUGGAUUAAUGUACACUAGUGAUCCGGCCUUGCAGUUAGGGUACCAUGCUACCCAGUCUCAUGGACUAAAGGAUAUCUGCCAUUCACUGCCACAAAAUUAUGGGUUGUUUCCCAGUGAGGAUGAAAGAGAUGUCAUGCUUGGGGUUGGAAGCAUCGGAGGAGACCUUUUUCAGGAUAUGGAUGACAGGCAAUUUGAUACUGUACUGGAGGGCAGAAGAGGGAAGGGUGAGUUCGGAAAGGGAAAAGGAAAAGCUAACUUUGCGACUGAGAGAGAGAGGAGGGAACAGCUAAAUGUGAAGUAUAAGACUUUAAGAAUGCUCUUCCCCAAUCCUACCAAGGUUUGUCUUGUUCAUCAUUUUGCAAAUUUAGGAGAUAUAAUGAUUGUCAGAUGUCCAGAUGGUCAACUAUAGAAGUUAACCACUAGGGUUUGUUCAAUUAUGUUAGAUAUACAUAAUACUUAAUUAAUAGAAGCUAAUAAUUCAAAUUUCAGGCCACUUUCCAGUUUCCAUUGUUUUCGUGAAGAUAAUUGAAUUUCUGAAUAACUUCAUCCAUUUAUGCUCAGUGUGUUAAGACGCUUAGAAGUGGCAUCAGCAAAGUACUAUGCAGUCCAAUAAACCGGUGCUUUAUAAAACAUCAACAAAAACCCAUUUGCAAUACUGUCAUCUGUCUGAUGUAGAUUCAAAGAAUCAUGUGUGAGAUAAUAUGCUUCUGCUGAACUUUCUGUCGAAUAGUUCUUUAAGCUCUGUUGCUACAUUAUAUUCAGGCUGAUACUGAUAUCGUAUGGAACAUGAUUGCUAUGAAAUAGUUGCCUGUCGUGCUGCUCUUCGCAGAUACUUAUAGUGACAUAGUACUAUUUACCCCAUUUAUCUUGAUCAAGUGUGUACCUUCUAGUUAAUUAUGAAAGAAAAUGAAAGCAAUCAAUAUUUCAUAAGACAGUAUUAUUGUCCUCAUUGCACUACUUCCAACAAAGUAUUAACCUCUCUAGUGAUCUAACUUUAACUGAUUAGACAACACUUCCUGAUUUACUCAAUGAAAACGUAAACAACGUGACAGAACCAUACAAAUCUUGGUUGCACCUUUUGGGGGUACUUCUCAUAUAUGUUUGAUACGGCACUAAUGUGUUACAGAACUGUUCUCUAGAAUGACAGGGCUUCAAUAGUAGGGGAUGCCAUUGAAUACAUACAUGAGCUGAACCGAACAGUGAAGGAACUGAAGAUCCUAGUGGAACAGAAGUGGCAUGGGACUAACAGGAGAAAGAUAAGAAAGUUGGAUGAAGAGGCGGCUGCUGAUGGUGAAAGCUCAUCGAUGAGGCCAAUGAGGGAUGAGCAAGACAAUCAGCUUGAUGGGGCCAUAAGAAGCUCAUGGGUUCAGAGGAGGUCAAAGGAAUGCCAUGUUGAUGUUCGCAUAGUGCAAAAUGAAAUAAACAUCAAGCUCACAGAAAAGAAGAAGGCCAACUCCUCCCUGCUUCAUGUUGCAAAGGUUCUUGACGAAUUCCAUCUUGAGAUCAUCCAUGUGGUUGGAGGGAUUAUUGGUGAUCACUACAUAUUCAUGUUUAACACUAAGGUAUUUAUAGUAUUAUUUGUUUUAAGUAGCAUCAGGAACUCCUUUCCCCAUAUUGCGGAUUGUCAAUGACAGUAAUGUCCCAUCGUCCACAAUAAUGCAGGUGCCUGAAGGUUCCUCGGUUUAUGCUUGUGCAGUGGCAAAGAGGAUCCUUCAAGCAGUGGAUGCACAACACCAGGCGCUUGACAUAUUCAACUAGGCCGUAGCAACUAUUUGAAGAAGUUCCUAGUCUACUACUCUCCCUGGAGACAGUAGUAAUUUUAUUUUCUGUUAGUUCUGUCCGUGAGCAAAGUUAUUAGAUCGGGCUUGGAGAGGACUUUGUCUCUUCCAUUAGCUAGCUCGGAAAACUAAAAAUCUGGCAUGUAUUAACCGUUUACUGGUAUCACUUAUCCAGCUUUGCUAGAAAUGCUUUGAUUCUUUUGUCUCGGUAUUUGCUUGCAUCGUCUUUUCAUCUCAUUUCAUUGGCUUCGAAAUAUAGUAGAAGAUGAUGAUGAUUUACACAUGUUUGCAUAGCUUUGUUCGCUUCUUUACAGAAAGCAUCUUAGAGCAUUCCCUGGUAUCACAUCUUAUAGGACACUACAUGCAUACGAGAACUUUGCAGAGAUCAAAAUCUGUGCAUAGCAUUUACAUGCUGGCUCGAAUCGUUAGGAAAUCGGCUCACACACUGCAUUGCGCAUGAUAACUUGUGCGUACGGGAGUAUUGCCGCCCAACAGUUGUUCUACCUGAAUCAUAUCCUUGGUCCAGAACCAUGGUCUCAGCUAUAAGACGAGAAAAAAAUCGAUGGUAGUAGGAUCUUACAUUGUCACUACCAUGCCAUCACAGAGUGAGGCCGCGAGCAACAGACACCAAACAAUGCGAAUGUAUGACAAUCCAACGCUGCAAGGAAAAGGAGAGAGGGGAAAUAGCUCAGCAUCCUCACCUCGCACCAAUGGAAUGCCCCCAUCCAUCCGUGCCAAAAUGAGAGACCGUUCUGCUCGGCUCGUGCAAUACCCCGAACACCUCGCGGGCACCACCCCGACCCGCAACGGCAGGCCCCCGUCGCGGCCGACAAGCAAAUCGCGGUCACGCGGUGUCAGCACGAGAUGCGGUGCCGUCCGCGGCACUCUGCAGCAGGCCGGAAUCAGAUCAGGGGACUGAACAUUUCCAGCCUGCAAUCAUCUGCUUGUGAACAGCGACAUUUUACCGGUGAGAUCUGCGGGAGCCGGGCGUGCUUCCGCUGCUUGCUUCGGCAGCUCCCGCACCGUCGAUGCUGCUCGUGGAACCGACCGCUGCUCGCUUGCGGACGUGCUAGGGCGGCAAAGGCCCUCGAGCGGAGCCAAGGGAGCGCGCCCCCUGUGGUUCAGGUCGCCGAGCAAGGGACGGACGCCUCGGUCGAAAAAGUAAAACAUUCAGAGGGACGCAUCAAACGGAUGUAAGUGAGCGUCUCUCGUAUUCACUUUAAAUAUCUGUCAUGUCGAACCCGACACCCGCACAUCACCCCAAAUUACAUCAAAU
rnacentral:lncRNA from 1 species